rnacentral:rRNA from 1 species
GACGAACGCUGGCGGCGUGCUUAACACAUGCAAGUCGAGCGGAGCGGCGGACGGGUGAGUAACGCGGGAGUAACUGCCCCCCUCCCUGGGGUAACAGUUGGAAACGGCUGCCAAUACCGGAUAGUGUGGGAUGACUCGCGUCCUAUCAGCUUGGUGGUGGGGUAGUGGCCUACCAAGGCGACGACGGGUAGCCGGCCUGGGAGGGCGACCGGCCUCAUUGGGCUGAGAUACGGCCCAAACGCCUACGGGAGGCAGCGGGGGGGAAUAUUGCACAGUGGGGGAAACCCUGAUGCAGCAACGCGCGGGCGGGAUGACGGCCUUGGGGUUGUAAACCGCGUUCAGCCAAGACGCGGUAGUGGCAGAAGAAGCACCGGCUAACUACGUGCCAGCAGCCGCGGUAAUAC